UGGUACGUCUGGAUUCGUGGAGUUUC
rnacentral:piRNA from 1 species